GGAGGGAUCGCUUAAGUGGUUAGAGCGUUGGUUUGCUAACCAAGAUACGUUAGUAUCCUGAGGGUUCGAGUCCCUCUCUCUCCA
rnacentral:tRNA from 1 species